AUCACAAAGUUCUUCAGUACUCCUGCCAUAAGAGCUUUCAGACAUCCCCUUAUCUUGGUAAAUAACUUCACAUGAGGAUAUUUGGGCCUUUUUUUGAUUCAAUCUCUUGUUGAAAGGACAAUAUCCUACAGCCAAGCUCCAUGACAAAACCCAGUGAGAGACAGCACGAUAACUCAAUUUCAUUUGGUUUCUAUCCAGACAAACUGUGAGAUCUGGUUCAGUAUCUGUACCAACAUAUAUCCAGCUCGCAGAGGGUUGUGCUGCAUCCUGGAGCACCAGCAGUUACGCACCAGAACUGUUAACAUCUGUCUCCGGAUUAAACAGGGAAUUUAACAGCAGUCUGAAGUCCUACAGAACUGACAAGCUACUCAGUUAGGGAGACUCCAUGCUGGGUGACUCCCAGAAUCUCC
rnacentral:lncRNA from 1 species